rnacentral:rRNA from 1 species
UACGUAGGGUGCAAGCGUUAAUCGGAAUUACUGGGCGUAAAGCGUGCGCAGGCGGUUUGUAAGUUUGUCGUGAAAGCCCCCGGGCUCAACCUGGGAAUUGCGAUGAAGACUGCAAGGCUUGAAUCUGGCAGAGGGGGGUAGAAUUCCACGUGUAGCAGUGAAAUGCGUAGAGAUGUGGAGGAACACCGAUGGCGAAGGGCAGCCCCUCGGUGCAAGCAUCGAGACGCUCAUGCACGAAAGCGUGGGGAGCAAACAGGAUUAGAAC